ensembl:piRNA 21ur-4113 ncRNA
UCAACAUCCUCGAUGGAGUAG